AUGUUCUGUUCAGCUUUUCAGCAGGGAAGGCCUCUGUGGUGGAGUCUGAGGAUAACGUCAACAACAGAACCAGCCAUGUGCUCCAUGAACAAUUCAAACUGGGUGACCUUCGAGGAUGAGUGUACUACAUCUACGUCCCCUUUUUUUUGCCUCAACACCCCUGAAGAUCCCAGGGAGUGGGGAAAAGUUGGCCUCAACACCCCUGAAGAUCCCAGGGAGUGGGGAAAAGUUGGCCUCAACACCCCUGAAGAUCCCAGGGAGUGGGACAAAGUUGGCCUCAACACCCCUGAAGAUCCCAGGGAGUGGGACAGGGAGUGGGGAAAAGUUGGCCUCAACACCCCUGAAGAUUCCAGGGAGUGGGACAAAGUUGGCCUCAACACCCCUGAAGAUCCCAGGGAGUGGGAAAAAGUUGGCCUCAACACCCCUGAAGAUCCCAGGGAGUGGGACAAAGUUGGCCUCAACACCCCUGAAGAUCCCAGGGAGUGGGACAAAGUUGGCCUCAACACCCCUGAAGAUCCCAGGGAGUGGGGAAAAGUUGGCCUCAACACCCCUGAAGAUCCCAGGGAGUGGGGAAAAGUUGGCCUCAACACCCUGAAGAUCCCAGGGAGUGGGGAAAAGUUGGCCUCAACACCCCUGAAGAUCCCAGGGAGUGGGACAAAGUUGGCCUCAACACCCCUGAAGAUCCCAGGGAGUGGGGAAAAGUUGGCCUCAACACCCCUGAAGAUCCCAGGGAGUGGGACAAAGUUGGCCUCAACACCCCUGAAGAUCCCAGGGAGUGGGGAAAAGUUGGCCUCAACACCCCUGAAGAUCCCAGGGAGUGGGACAAAGUUGGCCUCAACACCCCUGAAGAUCCCAGGGAGUGGGACAAAGUUGGCCUCAACACCCCUGAAGAUCCCAGGGAGUGGGGAAAAGUUGGCCUCAACACCCCUGAAGAUCCCACGGAGUGGGGAAAAGUUGGCCUCAACACCCCUGAAGAUCCCAGGGAGUGGGGAAAAUCCCAGGGAGUGGGACAAAGUUGGCCUCAACACCCCUGAAGAUCCCAGGGAGUGGGACAAAGUUGGCCUCAACACCCCUGAAGAUCCCAGGGAGUGGGACAAAGUUGGCCUCAACACCCCUGAAGAUCCCAGGGAGUGGGACAAAGUUGGCCUCAACACCCCUGAAGAUCCCAGGGAGUGGGACAAAGUUGGCCUCAACACCCCUGAAGAUCCCAGGGAGUGGGACAAAAUCCCAGGGAGUGGGGAAAAGUUGGCCUCAACACCCCUGUCGUCCCGACAGUGGGGCCCCAUUUACCUGCGUCUGCUGUCUGGAGGGGUGCUCCAGAUGUACUAUGAGAAAGGACUGGAGAAGCCCUUCAAAGAGUUCCAGCUGCAGCCUCACUGCAGGUUUUCAGAUCUCAAGCUGGAGAGCAACGGAGAGCCUCGCAAACUCCAGACAGUGAAGGUGGAGGACGUGUCUUACACAGAGAAGAAGCGCUACCACCACAAGCUGGAGGUGUCCCACAAGGCUGAGGUGGAGCAGCUGCUGAAAUUUGGAACCACGGAAUACGGCGACAUGGAGGAUCUGUUAGAGACCAUGGAGAAGGAGAUUCUUAGGCUGACUCCGCCCCUGUCGCAAAAACGGCACUACGAGGAACAGGAGAUGACACUGCAGAUCCCAGACCACCUCUGAGUGUAGCUGGACAAGGACGGUGUGGUGAUGGAUCGGGCAGCCAUGACGAGAAUCCACUGCCUGGCUUUCCUCAACGGACCAGGGGAGUGUUUCCUGGCUCUCAACGACCUAGGGCUCCUCCGCUUCCACGCCAGCUACGGCUCUGAGGAGGGCUGGAUGGAGAUCAGUGACUGCCACUUCCACAAGUGCAUCAAUGACUUGGAGUUCCACAAGUCCCGGCUGCUCAAGUUCUCUCCUCCGGACGCCUGUAGAGUAGAACCGAUGCGCUACAAGACAUUAGCCCUGGGAUGUACUAACCUACCGUUCUCCAUCAAAGCCGUGGUGACUGUCCAAGGGGCCUGCGUGGAACUCCAAGCCUUUCUCAACAUAUCAGCCGCCUUCCCGUCAUUUACCGGAGUGUCGGAGACUGAGCCGCUCUGCGAGAACGUUCUGAUCCGUGUGCCGGUACCGGCGGACUGGGUGAAGGUGUCACGCACUGUGACGUUGCUAAGACGGAAGUACCUGCCGGCCUGGAUCAACCCGGAACGCGUGUCUGGGGACAGUCAGUGCUGUUGAGUCACAGCCGGUCAUGCAAGUUACCGUGGGGACAGUUAAGUAUGAGAAUGUGUACUCGGCCAUGGUGUGGAGGAUCGACAGACUCAGUAGAAAAUCCUUCUCCUGUAAAUUAGAGCUUGGUUCAGAUCAGGAGAUCCCCACUGACUGGUAUCUGUUUGUCACGAUGGAGUGUGAGACGGUAGGGGCUGUGGUCUCACAGACCAGAGUGACGUCACUGGGCAAAGACAGUGACGUUCAGCCUCAGAAACAUGUCACCGGUAGGACCCACUAUCAUUGUCAGCCGAAGCUCUACCUGUCCAUCAUAGAUGAUGUGAUUGAGAGCAUGCGGGAGGUGUUUCUGGAUGAAGGACUGGAGGACCGUGUCCUUGAUGACCUGAGACAGCUCUGGGAGUCAAAGAUUAUGCAGUCCAAAGCAGUGGAUGGCUUGGCCCUCAUGAAGAACACCAUCAACUCAUCCAACUUUGUGCUGCAGCUCCCUCCAAACUAUGGACAGACUUUUUCAAAACCUGCAGCCUCUAUGGUGAUCCCUGCAGGUCAACACGUCCAGAGUUUCACUGCUAAGAACAACGGUGGGACUCUAGCCACCUUCUCUCUUCCUCCCGGGAUGACCUACCCAGUCCAGAUCCCUGCAGGGGUCACACUGCAGACGGCCUCUGGCCAGCUUUAUAAGGUCAAUGUCCCAGUGAUGGUGACCCAGACUCCAGCCAGUCAUCGCCAUCUCUCCCAGGCCCAACCCAGGCAAGGGGUACCUGUAGUGGAGUGGAGAGAUCCCAGCUCAGCUUCCCAGCAGUCAGCCACAGUGGUCCCUUCUACUGUCCUAAAGACCAUGGCCCUUCCGAAGACUGAACCCUUUUCCCCACAGCCUGUGGCUCCUCCCAGAGCGGAUCCUCAGACCACAGAGCAGAGGAGCCUGAUUCCUCCGGUCCAGCCACCUAAUGAGAAGCCUUUGCUACCCCAACCUGUGGUCCAGCCCCCAGUUCAGGAGAAUAAUCUUGUUCAGCAGCCACAAGUUCCUUCAGCUCAGGCAACCUUUUCUGGUCAGACUCCAGUGUCCUUCCAGCCCCCAGCCCAACUGCCAUCUCACCCCCCAGAGAGCCCCUUCGACAGUGGUGAUUUCAAUCUGGAUGGGAUUGAUUUUGACAGUCCACAGGCACUAGACAUGAGCCUGUCCUCCGGCUCCGCCCACAUGCCAAGCCUUCAGGUCAAGAUGGAGACGACCCUGUCUGAAGGGUCAGGGUUUAUGGUGAAACAGGAGGAUCAUGGAGGAGCGGUGGCUGAUAUGACAACCCACCUUGAGGGUCUACCUGUGGAUUCUACCAAGCUGGAGAUGGCCCUGUUGAAAGACUACAACUACAAUGAUGCUCUGGCAGACAUCAUCCAGCUGGACGGGCCUGCAGACAGCAGCUCUGAGGAGGUGGAGGAGUUGGAAGGAGGUGCGAUGGGAGAAAAUGAGUUCCUAGGAAUGAUGACUGUGGAGGCUCUCCAGGCCCUACAGGAGGUAGAUGGCAGCAGUGAUGAUGGCAUCUCCAGCUCCAGUGGUGACAGUGUGGGGAUGGAUGAAAUCACAGUGGAAGAGGAUCCUUUAAACUCUGGGGAUGACGUGAGUGAGCAGGACAUUCCUGAUCUCUUUGACACUGACAAUGUGAUAGUGUGUCAGUAUGAUAAGAUUCACCGCAGUAAGAACCGGUGGAAGUUCUAUCUGAAGGAUGGGGUGAUGUGUUAUGGAGGAAAGGACUAUGUGUUCUCUAAGGCUGUCGGCGAGGCAGAGUGGUGACUGGGUUUCUGUUAUGUUCCAAUGUCCAUACCAGAAUAGUUCAGAGGCGAAGAGGGGUUUCGUACAAUACCUCUUGGGAUGCAAUGGUAGUACAUUCUAAGUAGCAUGCUAGUGUGAAUAUUGGAUCAGAACCUUGGUCUGUAUUUCACCCAUGUGGAUACAGCCUUGACUUAGUCUUAAAUGUGUCCAACGAGGCACAUAAAACGUGAAUAUAUUGAGAGAAUAAUAUCAUUUGAAGUUAAUGGGGAAAACCACAGUUGUUCAGUGAGCUAGAACAUACAAUCUAUGCAGGUUUCUAAUCUGAAGAAAAGUCUGGAUGAGUAAUGUGUCCGUCCCACACGGCAACCUGUUCCCUAUAUAGUGCACUACUCUUCACCAGCCACCACAGUGCACAAAGGGCUUUUUGAGUUGUUCAUUUUGUUUAUGUAACUAUUUAUUUAUAUUUUUGUAUUUGUUGUGUAAUGCCAUUAAAGGAACACUGAGCACUAAAUUGG